CGCUCCCUGAGGUGUUCGCCAGCGGUACAUGUCCCUGGCCGAUGCUUUUUGCUAAAGGGUGUUCCGCUUCAUGCGGCUGUGCAGGCUCGGCUUGACCGAGAAGCCGAAAGCGUGAAUGGUUCACCCGCCCUGAACUUACGGUUCACGGGCGUCCCACCGCAGCGGCACUCCCGGGGAGCAC
rfam:Ferrimonas balearica DSM 9799, complete genome.